rnacentral:rRNA from 1 species
CGACUACAUUAGAUACCCGCGUAGUCCAGGGUGUAAACGCUGCGGGCUUGGUGUUGGGGGUCCUUUGAGGGCGCCCAGUGCCGGAGAGAAGUUGUUAAGCCUGCUGCUUGGGGAGUACGUCCGCAAGGAUGAAACUUAAAGGAAUUGGCGGGGGAGCACCGCAACGGGAGGAGCGUGCGGUUCAAUUGGAUUCAACGCCGGACAACUCACCAGGAGCGACGGUUACAUGAAGGCCAGGCUGAUGACCUUGCCUGAUUUUCCG